AAGUCGGCCGCGUGGCUGGCGUCAUGGCCGCUUCCUCGGGUGUGCAAGCCGGGUCCCCGGUUCAGGCCUUUGCAGAUGGCAAGGCUGCAGGGGCGGGCGGACAGGUCUCUGCCACAGUGCUGCAACACCUCGGAGGCGGAGGCGUUUCUGUGGCGGCCGCGGCGCAGGUGCCAAGGCGAGCUUCGGGGAGUGGAUGGACGCCUGGCCUGACAUAGGGGAGCUGGCCGGAAGGCGGGUGAAACCCUCAGACGAAGAGGAGGGGGAGGAGAAGGCGGCGUCUCCACGUGACAGAUUUCCUUAGCCAGGUGCGGCUUGGCCUCCCGUCCUGAGGCUGAACUGGGACCUUCUGGGCACUGUCCUGAGCUCCCUGUGCAGGUCGUGUCACAGCUGGACAGGAUGGAUGGCUCCACCUGAGGGGCCUUCGGUGAUGCCCGGUGGGAGCUGCAAGUCCUACCUCUGCUGGGUGAGCUCAGCGGGACGUUUCACGAUUACACAGCGGGGUCAGAGUCCCGUGUCAGUCCUCUGGGUGCUGGUGGACCCACAGUGACUGCAGCUGGAUUAAGAACAUGCAUGUACUCCCUAAGCCCCGGGAGCAUCUCCGUGGGUGUAUGCCUGCUGGGGCCCUGCACAAAUAAAGUGUUUUUAA